rnacentral:rRNA from 1 species
AACGAACGCUGGCGGCAGGCUUAACACAUGCAAGUCGAGCGCCCCGCAAGGGGAGCGGCAGACGGGUGAGUAACGCGUGGGAAUCUACCCAUCACUACGGAACAACUCCGGGAAACUGGAGCUAAUACCGUAUACGUCCUUCGGGAGAAAGAUUUAUCGGUGAUGGAUGAGCCCGCGUUGGAUUAGCUAGUUGGUGGGGUAAUGGCCUACCAAGGCGACGAUCCAUAGCUGGUCUGAGAGGAUGAUCAGCCACACUGGGACUGAGACACGGCCCAGACUCCUACGGGAGGCAGCAGUGGGGAAUAUUGGACAAUGGGCGAAAGCCUGAUCCAGCCAUGCCGCGUGAGUGAUGACGGCCCUAGGGUUGUAAAGCUCUUUUAGCAGGGACGAUAAUGACGGUACCUGCAGAAUAAGCUCCGGCUAACUUCGUGCCAGCCGCCGCCGUAA